GAUGAAGAACGUAGCGAAAUGCGAUAAGUAGUGUGAAUUGCAGAAUUCAGUGAAUCAUCGAAUCUUUGAACGCACAUUGCGCCCCUUGGUAUUCCAUGGGGCAUGCCUGUUCGAGCGUCAUUUGUACCUUCAAGCUUUGCUUGGUGUUGGGUGUUUGUCUCGCCUUUGCGUGUAGACUCGCCUUAAAAUAAUUGGCAGCCAGUGUUUGGUUUUGAAGCGCAGCACAAGUCGCGAUUCAAGGCUAUACACCAGCUUCCACAAGCCUUUUUCACUUUUGACCUCGGAUCAGGUAGGGAUACCCGCUGAACUUAAGCAUAUCAAUAAGCGGAGGA
rnacentral:misc_RNA from 1 species